GAUGAACGCUAGCGGCAGGCCUAAUACAUGCAAGUCGGACGGGAUCCAUCGGAGAGCUUGCUCGAAGAUGGUGAGAGUGGCGCACGGGUGCGUAACGCGUGAGCAACCUACCUCUAUCAGGGGGAUAGCCUCUCGAAAGAGAGAUUAACACCGCAUAACAUCAACAGUUCGCAUGUUCAGUUGAUUAAAUAUUUAUAGGAUAGAGAUGGGCUCGCGUGACAUUAGCUAGUUGGUAGGGUAACGGCUUACCAAGGCGACGAUGUCUAGGGGCUCUGAGAGGAGAAUCCCCCACACUGGUACUGAGACACGGACCAGACUCCUACGGGAGGCAGCAGUAAGGAAUAUUGGUCAAUGGGCGGAAGCCUGAACCAGCCAUGCCGCGUGCAGGAAGACUGCCCUAUGGGUUGUAAACUGCUUUUGUCCAGGAAUAAACCUAUCUACGUGUAGAUAGCUGAAUGUACUGGAAGAAUAAGGAUCGGCUAACUCCGUGCCAGCAGCCGCCGUAA
rnacentral:rRNA from 1 species